ACCUUAGAUGCUUGGGAAAUCAUUUUGGUUGUCGAACCUUUGGUUCGACGUUGCGGCGAACGAUCGCCGACGGCCUCUGGCCUGUAUGGGAAUUUCCCAAUACAGCGUGGAGCGCGUCGCCGGUCGUCCGGCGUUAAAACCAAAAAUGGUUUCCAAGCAUUGUUAAAAGGU
rnacentral:rRNA from 1 species